GUAUUGGUGGUUCAGCAGUAGAAUUCUUGCCUUCCACACAGGACAGCCAGGUUGGAUUCCCAGCCAAUGCA
rnacentral:tRNA from 1 species